AUUUAAACCUCUAAAAUUACUUAUAGGAUCACAGCAGUGGCGGCUGGCCAGCAGGGGGCGCUGGGGCGCCGCCCUCACCUACAAAGAGUCCAUAUUCCUGGUUACUACACAAUUAAAAAAAACAAACUGUUAGGAAUAAUUUCGGAUGAAGAUAUGUGUAAAAUAAUGUAUUUUUUUUAGCUUUUUGUGCAUGUUAAGCGCAUUACACAGUGUUUCUUUUUAAUGAUUUUUCAUUGAACAACACUUCCUGGUUGCGGGGGCGCCGGUCAAAUGAAUCCCUAUUGUCAGCCUCAAACUUUUGACUAAAACGUCACUGGAGGCUGCGUUUUGAUUGGUUCGUUAAAAAUCUGCUUGUGGCGCAGCUCGGUGCGCCCCGGAUACGCCCACUUUUCAUCGUCAGCCAAUUAGAAUAGUUGAAUUAUGUUGCUUCAGUGUGUUUGGACAAUGUCAUGGUCAAUUAUACACUCCUGUAUUUUAAGCCAGUGUGACGUACAUCC